UACGAAGGGGGCUAGCGUUGCUCGGAAUUACUGGGCGUAAAGCGCACGUAGGCGGCUUUCUAAGUCGGGGGUGAAAUCCUGGAGCUCAACUCCAGAACUGCCUCCGAUACUGGAAAGCUCGAGUCCGGGAGAGGUGAGUGGAACUGCGAGUGUAGAGGUGAAAUUCGUAGAUAUUCGCAAGAACACCAGUGGCGAAGGCGGCUCACUGGCCCGGUACUGACGCUGAGGUGCGAAAGCGUGGGGAGCAAACAGG
rnacentral:rRNA from 1 species